rnacentral:rRNA from 1 species
GACGAACGCUGGCGGCGUGCUUAACACAUGCAAGUCGAGCGGUAAGGCCCUUUCGGGGGUACACGAGCGGCGAACGGGUGAGUAACACGUGGGUGACCUGCCCUCAGCUCUGGGAUAAGCCCGGGAAACUGGGUCUAAUACUGGAUAUGACUCCAUGACGCAUGUUGUGGGGUGGAAAGCCUUGUGCGGCUGGGGAUGGGCCCGCGGCCUAUCAGCUUGUUGGUGGGGUGAUGGCCUACCAAGGCGACGACGGGUAGCCGGCCUGAGAGGGCGACCGGCCACACUGGGACUGAGACACGGCCCAGACUCCUACGGGAGGC